rnacentral:rRNA from 1 species
UUUCCCCUACGGGAGGCAGCAGUGGGGAAUAUUGCACAAUGGGGGAAACCCUGAUGCAGCGACGCCGCGUGAGCGAGGAAGUACCUCGGUAUGUAAAGCUCUGUCAGCAGGGAAGAAAAUGACAGUACCUGACCAAGAAGCCCCGGCUAACUACGUGCCAGCAGCCGCGGUAAUACGUAGGGGGCAAGCGUUAUCCGGAUUUACUGGGUGUAAAGGGAGCGUAGACGGCUGUGCAAGUCUGAAGUGAAAGCCCGUGGCUCAACCGCGGAACUGCUUUGGAAACUGUAUGGCUUGAGUACUGGAGA